rnacentral:rRNA from 1 species
AUUGAACGCUAGCGGGAUGCUUUACACAUGCAAGUCGAACGAGUGGCGGACGGGUGAGUAAUAUAUCGGAACGUGCCCAGUAGCGGGGGAUAACUACUCGAAAGAGUGGCUAAUACCGCAUACUCUUGGAGCGGCCGAUAUCGGAUUAGCUAGCUGGUGGGGAAAAGGCUCACCAAGGCAACGAUCCGUAGCUGGUUUGAGAGGACGAACAGCCCCAGUGCGACUAAGGAACGGCCCAGACUCCAACGGUAGGCAGCAGUAGGGAAUUGUGGACAAUGGGGGAAACCCUGAUCCAGCCAUCCCGCGUGUAUGAGAAGGCCUUCGGGUUGUAAAGUACUUUUGGCAGAGAAGCGGUAUCUGCAGAAUGAGCACCGGCUAGCUACGUGCCAGCCGCCGCGGUAAUUC